rnacentral:rRNA from 1 species
UACGAAGGGGACUAGCGUUGUUCGGAUUUACUGGGCGUAAAGCGCGCGUAGGCGGAUCGCUACGUCAGGGGUGAAAUCCCAGGGCUCAACCCUGGAACUGCCUUUGAUACUGACGGUCUGGAGAUCGGGAGAGGUUGGUGGAAUUCCGAGUGUAGAGGUGAAAUUCGUAGAUAUUCGGAGGAACACCAGAAGCGAAGGCGGCCAACGGGCCCGAUACUGACGCUGAGGCGCGAAAGCGUGGGGAGCAAACAGG